GCGUUUGUGGUUUAGUGGUAAAAUCCAUCGUUGCCAGUGGUCACUCAUUAGAGUGAUCAUUCAGAUUCGAUGGGCCCCGGGUUCGAUUCCCGGCGAACGCA